rnacentral:tRNA from 4 species
GGGGUAGUAGCUUAAUUGGUAAAGUCCUUACUUGUCACGUAAGUGAAUACCGGUUCAAAUCCGGUCUACCUCG